GGGUUGUGAGGUUAAGCGAAUAAGCGUACACGGUGGAUGCCUAGGCAAUCAGAGGCGAUGAAGGACGUGCUAAUCUGCGAUAAGCGUCGGUAAGGUGAUAUGAACCGUUAUACCCGACGAUUUCCGAAUGGGGAAACCCAAUAUCCAAUGGAUAUUAUCAUUAACUGAAUACAUAGGUUAAUGAAGCGAACCGGGAGAACUGAAACAUCUCAGUACCCCGAGGAAAAGAAAUCAACCGAGAUUCCCCUAGUAGCGGCGAGCGAACGGGGAACAGCCCAGAGUCUUAAUCAAUAGCAGCAUCAGGAGAACGGUCUGGAAAGUCCGGCAGUAAAGGGUGAUAGCCCCGUAUCCGAAGAUGCUGUUAUUGUGAACUCGACGAGUAGGGCGGGACACGUGUUAUCCUGUCUGAAUAUGGGGGGACCAUCCUCCAAGGCUAAAUACUCCUGAUUGACCGAUAGUGAACCAGUACCGUGAGGGAAAGGCGAAAAGAACCCCGGCGAGGGGAGUGAAAAAGAACCUGAAACCGUGUACGUACAAGCAGUAGGAGCCCCACCACUAAGCUAGUGGUGAACUCACAGCGAUUCUUUUGCAUGAUAAAGAGCGGUAGACGACGCGAAGUGACGUCCAACCAAUCCAAUCAGGCAGAGGAGGCUUAGUGGUGGGGUGACUGCGUACCUUUUGUAUAAUGGGUCAGCGACUUAUAUUCUGUAGCAAGGUUAACCGAAUAGGGGAGCCGUAGGGAAACCGAGUCUUAACUGGGCGAAUGAGUUGCAGGGUAUAGACCCGAAACCCGGUGAUCUAUCCAUGGGCAGGUUGAAGGUUGGGUAACACUAACUGGAGGACCGAACCGACUAAUGUUGAAAAAUUAGCGGAUGACUUGUGGAUGGGGGUGAAAGGCCAAUCAAACCGGGAGAUAGCUGGUUCUCCCCGAAAGCUAUUUAGGUAGCGCCUCGUGAACUCAUCUUCGGGGGUAGAGCACUGUUUCGACUAGGGGGUCAUCCCGACUUACCAACUCGAUGCAAACUGCGAAUACCGAAGAAUGUUAUCACGGGAGACACACGGCGGGUGCUAACGUCCGUCGUGAAGAGGGAAACAACCCAGACCGCCAGCUAAGGUCCCAAAGUCAUGGUUAAGUGGGAAACGAAGUGGGAAGGCUCAGACAGCCAGGAUGUUGGCUUAGAAGCAGCCAUCAUUUAAAGAAAGCGUAAUAGCUCACUGGUCGAGUCGGCCCGCGCGGAAGAUGUAACGGGGCUAAACCAUGCACCGAAGCUGCGGCAGCGAACGUAUCACUUAAAUUUGUUUAAGUGAGAAACGAUUGACGGAACGAAGAGACGUCAAUGCGUCCAUAAAAGUCGAGGCGAAAGUCCGAUAAGCGAAUUUAAGGAUACGUUCGUUGGGUAGGGGAGCGUUCUGUAAGCCUGCGAAGGUGUACUGUGAGGUAUGCUGGAGGUAUCAGAAGUGCGAAUGCUGACAUAAGUAACGAUAAUGCGGGUGAAAAACCCGCACGCCGGAAGACCAAGGGUUCCUGUCCAACGUUAAUCGGGGCAGGGUGAGUCGACCCCUAAGGCGAGGCUGAAAAGCGUAGUCGAUGGGAAACGGGUUAAUAUUCCCGUACUGGUGGUAACUGCGAUGGGGGAACGGAGAAGGCUAGGUUGUCCGGGCGACGGUCGUCCCGGUUCAAGCAUGUAGGCAGAGUGAUUAGGCAAAUCCGGUCACUUAAUGCUGAGGUGUGAUGACGAGCCACUAAGGUGGUGAAGCAAUUGAUGCCCUGCUUCCAGGAAAAGCCUCUAAGCUUCAGGUUACCAACAAUCGUACCCCAAACCGACACAGGUGGUCAGGUAGAGAAUACUCAGGCGCUUGAGAGAACUCGGGUGAAGGAACUAGGCAAAAUGGUGCCGUAACUUCGGGAGAAGGCACGCUGGCGGUAAGUGAAGUCCCUUGCGGACGGAGCCGAAGCCAGUCGAAGAUACCAGCUGGCUGCAACUGUUUAUUAAAAACACAGCACUGUGCAAACACGAAAGUGGACGUAUACGGUGUGACGCCUGCCCGGUGCUGGAAGGUUAAUUGAUGGGGUUAUCCUUAGGGAGAAGCUCUUGAUCGAAGCCCCAGUAAACGGCGGCCGUAACUAUAACGGUCCUAAGGUAGCGAAAUUCCUUGUCGGGUAAGUUCCGACCUGCACGAAUGGCGUAAUGAUGGCCAGGCUGUCUCCACCCGAGACUCAGUGAAAUUGAACUCGCUGUGAAGAUGCAGUGUACCCGCGGCAAGACGGAAAGACCCCGUGAACCUUUACUAUAGCUUGACACUGAACAUUGAGCCUUGAUGUGUAGGAUAGGUGGGAGACUAUGAAAUGUGGACGCCAGUCUGCAUGGAGUCAACCUUGAAAUACCACCCUUUAACGUUUGAUGUUCUAACCUAGGCCCGUGAUCCGGGUCGGGGACCGUGUCUGGUGGGUAGUUUGACUGGGGCGGUCUCCUCCUAAAGAGUAACGGAGGAGCACGAAGGUUGGCUAAGCAUGGUCGGACAUCAUGCGGUUAGUGCAAAGGCAUAAGCCAGCUUGACUGUGAGAGUGACGGCUCGAGCAGGUACGAAAGUAGGUCUUAGUGAUCCGGUGGUUCUGAAUGGAAGGGCCAUCGCUCAACGGAUAAAAGGUACUCCGGGGAUAACAGGCUGAUACCGCCCAAGAGUUCAUAUCGACGGCGGUGUUUGGCACCUCGAUGUCGGCUCAUCACAUCCUGGGGCUGAAGUAGGUCCCAAGGGUAUGGCUGUUCGCCAUUUAAAGUGGUACGCGAGCUGGGUUUAGAACGUCGUGAGACAGUUCGGUCCCUAUCUGCCGUGGGCGUUGGAAGAUUGAGAGGGGUUGCUCCUAGUACGAGAGGACCGGAGUGAACGCACCACUGGUGUUCGGGUUGUCAUGCCAAUGGCAUUGCCCGGUAGCUAAGUGCGGAAGAGAUAACCGCUGAAAGCAUCUAAGCGGGAAACUUGCCUCGAGAUGAGUCUUCCCUGUCACCUUGAGUGACCUAAAGGAACGUUUAAGACUAAGACGUUGAUAGGCUGGGUGUGUAAGCGUAGCGAUACGUUGAGCUAACCAGUACUAAUGAACCGUGAGGCUUAACCUGACAACACCGAAGGUGUUU
rnacentral:rRNA from 1 species